rnacentral:rRNA from 1 species
AUUGAACGCUGGCGGCAGGCCUAACACAUGCAAGUCGAGCGCGCGGCGGACGGGUGUGUAAUGUAUGGAGACUGUCCGAUAGAGGGGGAUCUCUAGUGGAAGGGGUCUCUAAUCCCGCAUCCUCACGGAUCACCCAUAUGGGUUUAUCUAGUAGGUGGGGUAAAGGCUCACCUAGGCGACGAUCACUAGCUGGUCUGAGAGGAUGAUCAGCCACACGGGGACUGAGACACGGCCCAGACUCCUACGGAGGCAGCAGUGGGGAAUAUUGCACAAUGGGCGCAAGCCUGAUGCAGCCAUGCCGCGUGUAUGAAGAAGGCCUUAGGGUUGUAAAGUACUUUCAGCGGGGAGGCGUUACCCGCAGAAGAAGCACCGGCUAACUCCGUGCCAGCAGCCGCGGUAAUUC